UCCAAAGCGUACAAUUAGAUCCCUCUAUCCAACUCAGAAAUUAGAGCUUAAUUUCCUUUCUUCUUCAUAGCAGGGCUCAAUUCCCUCUCGUCAACAUCAUCUCUACAAAAUAAUUUCGCGCAAUCCGAACAAUAAAGGUUGUUGUAUAUAAUUAUCCACUGAAUCAAAGGGUAUUCUAAAGCAAUGGAUCAAUCAUCCAGGAUUUGAGCUAAUCACCAUGGUGAUGCACAACAUCGCAAGAUAAAUCCUCCACCAGUGCAAAGGUUUGGUGGGUUGUAUGAUAGCAUUGAGGAGAAGCUACAACCAUUGAAGAAUAUUUGCAGCAUUGAAUCCAGUUGGAUUGAAACAAAAAAAUGGCAGCCUUCAGAACAAAUGAUUGUAUACUUCUCUGUCAUUCUUAACUGUUGAGUGAAAUCCAUUUCGGUUCUAUUGCUAUGUUGGAAAAGACAGAAGAUGAGAAAGACAGGGGAAUUCACUAUUUCACUAUGUCCUGAAUAGUAAGAGCGAUGGGUAAAAGCCAAUGGCUGGCACUCAUUUAAAGUUAAAAUAUGCAGUUGCUUUUGAGGGUGCUAAAAAAUAGUACACAAACCAUCUGCGCCUUUCCUCGUGAGACAUCAAGCAAGACUGGAUCAUAUUUUGGAGUUAUUUUAUGGAGAACUGGUGGAUCAAAUAAGCUAAAGCGUAUAUUGAAGCAGUGAGGGUGAUAUUUAGACUCGUGGGAUUGUUGAUGAAACAUUAGUUUGUUUAGAUACUUUGGAAUUUUUGUUUUGUUUUGCAACUUCUAAUUAAUGUGCGAACCUAUGUAUGUUACUCUCUGGAUAUUCUGGAUGAUGCUUUUGUUUAUGAAUAAUAGUAUCCUUUCGUGAUUUAUAUAAAUUUUAGCGCAUUA